GACAGAGGGUGCAAACGUUGUUCGGAAUUACUGGGCGUAAAGCGCGUGUAGGCUGCUCGGAAAGUCGGAUGUGAAAGCCCUGGGCUCAACCUAGGAAGUGCAUUCGAAACUUCCGAGCUGGAGUGCUGGAGAGGAAGGCGGAAUUCUCGGUGUAGAGGUGAAAUUCGUAGAUAUCGAGAGGAACACCGGUGGCGAAGGCGGCCUUCUGGACAGCCACUGACGCUGAGACGCGAAAGCGCGGGGAGCAAACAGG
rnacentral:rRNA from 1 species